UUUCAAAUCUCUCUCUCUCUCUCUGCCGGAUCCGGAACUCCCUGUAUAUCGGUCGGUCAUGACGGUAGAGAAGCGGUGGAAGUAGGCCGAGAAUGAUCUUCGGUCUCUUCCUCAGGUUUAUGCACAUUCUGUCAUCUCUAGUAAGGGAUGCCUCAGAUUGAAGUAAAUCGGCAAAGAAUCGUAACGAUUUGAGGGUGAAACAUGAAGGUCAGGGUGUGUACGUCUUUACUUCCACAUCGUUCAAAUGGAGGCUAUGCAUCCCCAGUGGUACUUCCAACUAAGAAAAUUAAGCUACUGUCAAUCUCAUAUCGAUGAUAUUAGAUGGAAGAAGCCAUGCUUGGUAAGCUUUACAUAUACCCGUUUGCGACUAUAAAAAUAUAUUAUCAGGUAUAUUGCAUGUUGGGACACGCUAAUGUUGCAAUUAUCUGUCCUAUGGGGAAAAGUUUUUGAAGUUGUGGGGAAUGGUGGCUAAGUGCUUUUGGUAUGCCAGUGGCAGAUUAUCUCGAAGGCAUUGCCACACCUUGCGUUCUCACUGUAUUACCAGGUCAAAGGACCUAUCUACUGUAUUCUCUCCGGCUCCUUUGGAUACAGUUUUAUGGCUGCACACAGAAAAUACUACUGUAUUCUUCCGGGCUCACUCGGUGCCCUGAGACUUGUCCAUAUGGUGCUUUUUGUGAUAAAAAAAAUUUAGAUGUUGUUGCAUUUCCUCCUCAUGAGUCAGUCAGC